rnacentral:rRNA from 1 species
GACGAACGCUGGCGGCGUGCCUAAUACAUGCAAGUUGAGCGCUGAAGGUUGGUACUUGUACCAACUGGAUGAGCAGCGAACGGGUGAGUAACGCGUGGGGAAUCUGCCUUUUAGCGGGGGACAACAUUUGGAAACGAAUGCUAAUACCGCAUAAAAACUUUAAACACAAGUUUUAAGUUUGAAAUAUGCAAUUGCAUCACUCAAAGAUGAUCCCGCGUUGUAUUAGCUAGUUGGUGAGGUAAAGGCUCACCAAGGCGAUGAUACAUAGACGACCUGAGAGGGGGGUCGGCCAAAAGGGGAAUGGGAAAAGGGCCAAAAGCCUAAGGGAGGCAGCAGUAGGGAAACAUCGGAAAAGGAGGAAAGUCUGAACGAACAAAGACGGGUGAGUGAAGAAGGUUUUCGGAACGUAAAACUCUGUUGGUAGAGAAGAAAGAUGGUGAGAGUGGAAAGCUCAUGAAGUGACGGUAACUAAACAGAAAGGGACGGCUAACUACGUG